GUUCCCUCUGCUCAAGUCCAGCUGUCUGCCACGGCAGUGCAACCCGUGGCGGACGACCCAGGAGGCGGUGACGGCAGCAACGGCGGCAUCUUUUCUUGCCUGCAUUUAUCUGCGCUGUUUGAAGCCUUGAGACCCAUCAGGACCCAAAGGCUGUCUGAUCACAUUAUUGGGCUGCCUGCUGUCUUCGGGUUGGGAGAUCCUGGUUGGCCU
rnacentral:lncRNA from 1 species